CUUUGAUAGAAGAGGCAACUGGCUGAGGCUGCCCUAGCAUGAGGUCAAACUGUCGAUUGCAGAGCUGAAGCGCUAUUGAAAGUAAUUACAUCACCUGCUCGAUGUACAAAAUAACCAUUAUAUCAUAUAUCAUAUUUUACGGUUAAAACUGCAAAAGGAGUAGAGAACGGCAAAAGGGAACUACACAAUUUAGUCAACAAACUAAGUUUAGAGGCGCAAAUGUAUGAUGGAGCGCACGAAUUCCUUUCGCUGGUCUCCGUGUGAAUUACGUAGCCUGACAACUAAAUUUCAAAUCAUGGCAUGAUGGCAAGCAAGGAAAAGGUGCCAAUUCACCACCACUACCAAAUUCCUCCACAUCCAGCUAACUUUUAUGGCUUCAUGCCAACAUUGGCCAACUCCUUUAACAUGUAGUAGAAACAAAUGAUUUAAUUUAUAUCAUACAGUAAAAUCUUCCCUCAAGUCUGAAAGUACCACAGACCCUGAUGUAAGGAGCAGAAUAAAUUUAAACCAUCAGGCGCAUUUGUUUCUAAAACCAGGGCCAACCUCUCAAAUCUCUAUAUGGUGUUCUUGUCCCCGAGAAAUAGAAAAGCGAGUUAUAUACAAGGAAAAUGUACCAAAAGCAAGGUGAGUUAGUUGUUUCAAACAUGCAGUCCUUGCUAAACAUUUAGCCGAAAGAAGUAGAAUAACUAACCCAUCACUAACGCUUAAGUACAGUAUCUGAUUUUUUUUCUGGCCAUGCAAACAUGUAAAUAUUUGGCAGAUAUGUAGACUAAAGUGUCAACUAAAAAACACUGACCGCAAUUGGAAGAAACAUAAUCAGUCUAGAAUAAGCAUUUGUAGCUAGAUAAAUUACUUAUUUCAAGUUGACUGCUAUUUCUUUUAGGAAGCAAAUCAUGGCAGGAAGUCAACUAUAAAAUGGCAAGAAGAUGAUUGUCCAACAGUUUUUCCUCUGGUUGAUUUCGGGUAAAACAGAGAGGCCAUACCAGCUGCACUUCCUCAUUUGUAAAUUCCCGACGCUUGUUCUUGUUUUGAUUCAUUUAGGCUGGCUAUCUUCUUGCUGCUUGAACCACAAGUUCUUUUAUCUUUCUUGAGACCUCUACAUAGAUAGAGGAAAAUCAAGAAGAUGAAAAUUCCAUUCAAGAUCAAAAUAUCGACCUUCACUAUCACCUCCAGCUCAUACAAAAUUAGCGACAUCAAGAGACAACAAAUUAUAAAUCAAAUUAAAUAUUUGCACAAUUCAAAUAUCUGCACAGAAAUCUACAAGCAAACAAACAACCCCAUGGAUCUUUCAUUGUACAAAGGCAUCUCAAUAUACACUCAGAGCUUAAUAAUAGAAACGAGGCAUAGUUAUUUUAGUCUGCCAAGCAUUUUGUGCCUACCGCAAUCAUGAAGUAUACUGUGUAACUAACCUAAUCGUUUUCUCAUUGUUACCCAAGAAGGAAGAACUACCUAAAUAACUGAGAGGAGGGCAGUGAGGAGGAUGGCUUGGGUACUGAUUCAAACUAACAACCGAUAGAUCGGGUUUCACAUUAACAUAAAACAACAUCACAUUUAUCAUCAAGUGCUAAGCUAUCAUCAUUCAAAUGCAUGUAAUUUCUGGUUUUACGUGGACAUACCGAACGAAGCAAUGGGAAAACAUAGAGAUUAGAAUAGCAGUCCAUGUAGCAGACAAAGUCAAAAUAGCAACAAUUUCGAUCGCUUCUAGGACUAUUAGCAGUGGGCCAUGCACUUGCAGGUCCCGUUGCCAUUAAAAUGGAAUCAGGUUACCCCCAUGGUAGCACAUUUAAAAGGUGCCGAAAUCUAAACAGAAAUAGAAUAGCCAGGAAAACAGAUCAAGUUACUCAAUGGCCGCACGCACACGCAUCAAAAGGUGCGGAAACCUAAACAGAAACAUAAACAUAUAUUAACCGAAUUGAUCAAACCUAGCUAUCCGAUCCAGGCCAACCAAUGGCAUCACAUAUAUAUCGACCGAAAUGCAUUGGGCCAUUGCAAAUCUGAAUGGAGGAUCAAUACACAAGUUUAUGAUUAUGGAUAGGUUCGCGUUGUUUAGAGAUGCGGGUUGCAGGCUAUAUCCAUGCCAAGACAGUACCUUGUAUGUAUAGGACUGAAGGAUAAUAUUUUGAAGAAUCUGAAUCUAACUUCCAUUUAACAGAAAUUAUAGCAUCUAUACUGUGUAGAGGGUUCAGAUAUAUAUUUGUUCACCAAGCUUCUUUAUUAUGUCCAUCUCUUUUUCUAGUUGCAAUAUAACACAAGGAGGCAUUGUUAGUCCGAAACCAGACUGUACGCGAAUUUGGGCGCAUUAAUUUCACAAGCCAGGGAAAUAAUGUACUUCCCAAGACAUACCAUAGCUUAUUCCUCUUAUUUCUUUCUCAGACAUGCACACAUCAAAUUAGAGGAAUUUUAGGGAAAUAAAUGAAAGCUUGAUGCGGGACAGGAAUGGGCAAGCAUAUGGGAAACGAGCACUUGCAAGCAUAUUCUUACUUUAUGAGCACCGCUAACAAGCCCUGGAGGCUCGGGGUGACAUGAGGCGCCGCAUCUGGUCGAUCACAAUGACCA
rnacentral:lncRNA from 1 species